AAAGUAGCAAACUGUAUUGUCAGCAUCCAAUGACAUCUGAUUAAAAUUUCUCACUGCUAUCACUGUAUUAAUCUUUUAUCAAUUAAAAUUUUCAAUUAGAAGAAUGGUCAAAGUCCUCAGCCAGUGAAAAUAAUCCUGUAGGCCACUCCAUACAAUUGCUGAAAGGUGUCACUAAAUAUUUCCUCAAGAAAAAAAAGGAUUUUGAAUCCCCAAUAUUCUGUUCUUGACUCUCAACCUUGACACUUCAAAAAAGUCUAAAACCAGGAAACCUAUUUAUUUCCAGCAACCAUAAUCUUAAGUAUGGAAUACAUCCUUAGAGAAAUCAAACAAGGCAGACAGCCAAAAAUUGAGAUCUAAGCACUGGUGGGUGCAUGUGUGCAUAUUCAAUUCUCUGAAUCCUAAAACUAAGGGAUGAGGUUUGACAGUGGCAGCAAUUCCCUUCUAAUGCACACAGCUAAAGACCACACACAGAGAAAAUGUAUAAAGUUGAAGACUUUUUUUAAGACAGCUGUAAUUUAGUGCAGUUUGACCAGUAAAACCAAUCCAUUCAUGAAUCAAUAAAAUAUUAAGAUCAUAUUCAAUUCUCUAAUUGUCAAAUAGCCUCCCCAAACAUGAAAUAC
rnacentral:misc_RNA from 1 species